CAUCGUUUAUACUGAAAUCUCUGAUACAUUAUUUUUUCUAAAAAAAAUACUGUGUUUGCAACAGGAGCAGGUAAUAAAAUAUCUGAACGUCAGUCAGUGAAAAAGACGUUUGCAAACGAUUUAAAAGUUUCUUUGAAAUCAAAUUAAUUCUGGUUGAUGUAGUUUGAUUUUGUUGUCAAAAAUGCAGUCUUAUUCAAACGAUGAUAAAAAAACAUUUUGGAUAAUUGUGUUGGUGAUAAUAUUGAUUUUGGUCCUUUUGGGCCUCAUUAUAAUAUAUUUUUACGACGAAACCGAUCAUACCUCAUAUGGAAGAAUUCGUUAUUUUUACAACGAACCCGAUCAUACCUCAUAUGGAGGAAUUCGUUCUGGUCAUACCUCAUAUGGAAAAAUUGGAAUAAACAAAAUAUUCCAAAGUGCAGGACAGUGGGUCGAAAAAGCAAAAAAGUGGGGUUCAGGAUUGAAUAUGCAGAGAUGUUGGAGUAGGCCAAAAAUGCAUAAAACAGGAGGACGUUGCCAUUGCGGCCAUGGCCAUGGCCAUUGAUGAAUUUGAGCUGAUACAGUACUGUGGAUAUCUUUACUGCUGGCCGUGUUACCGGAGAUCCUGCACAUGGUAUAGAAUUACAGAAUAAACAAGAGACAGAAACACCCAUUUGAUAAACAAUAUCGAUCUCGUUAGUAGUAAUU